UGACCAACAUAUAUGGGCCGU
rnacentral:miRNA from 1 species